rnacentral:rRNA from 1 species
CCUACGGGAGGCAGCAGUGGGGAAUAUUGGACAAUGGGGGGAACCCUGAUCCAGCCAUGCCGCGUGUGUGAAGAAGGCCCUCGGGUUGUAAAGCACUUUCAGUGAGGAAGAACGCCUGGUGGUUAAUACCCAUCAGGAAAGACAUCACUCACAGAAGAAGCACCGGCUAACUCCGUGCCAGCAGCCGCGGUAAUACGGAGGGUGCGAGCGUUAAUCGGAAUUACUGGGCGUAAAGCGCGCGUAGGUGGCUUGAUAAGCCGGUUGUGAAAGCCCCGGGCUCAACCUGGAACGGCAUCCGGAACUGUCAAGCUAGAGUGCAGGAGAGGAAGGUAGAAUUCCCGGUGUAGCGGUGAAAUGCGUAGAGAUCGGGAGGAAUACCAGUGGCGAAGGCGGCCUUCUGGACUGACACUGACACUGAGGUGCGAAAGCGUGGGUAGCAAACAGGAUUAGAUACCCCAGUAGUC